GCGCCUGUAGCUCAGUGGAUGGAGCGUCUGUUUCCUAAGCGGAAGGCCGUAGGUUCGACCCCUACCUGGCGCG
rfam:Oryza meridionalis cultivar OR44 (W2112) chromosome 1, whole genome shotgun sequence.